rnacentral:lncRNA from 1 species
UGUUGCAAUUGCAUUUAGAAGCAUCCUUUUAACAGACAGAUUACCCAUGUGAAUUUAGGAGUUCCCAACUUCUAUUGUGCUUGGAGCAUAGAAAAGAACUGACAUGUUGCACUAUUCAAUUUUUUAGGGACACAAGCCUUGCCUUACUUGCAUCUAGUCUCUGAAAGACUCAUAACAUUCUCACUGAAGGGAGACACUCAUCCAAAGACUAACCUGUUUUCUCUAGCAGCUCCCAGAAAUGAUUAAAUUCUUCAUAAGAGUAACGGGAGACCAUGAGAUCCAUUCAGAUUCUUUAUGAUUAUGUUUCAUGGAAUGAAUGUGUUGGAUCCAUAUCAUAUGCAACUUGAGUGUUUUGUUUCCCUUAUUUGACCUCUUUAUAGAUUAUUCUAUUUUACCUUAGUGUACAAUCAAUCAUGUCAAGGAACGCAUCUCCCUUUGUGGUUAGGCCUGUAUGUUUCGGUUCCAGUUAAAGUAGAAUAAGAUAAAUUGUAAAUCUCAUUUCUCUACCUUUAUCUGCU